CCUACGGGAGGCAGCAGUCGAGAAUCAUUCACCAUGGGGGAAACCCUGCUGGUGCGACGCCGCGUGGGGGAAUGAAGGUCUUCGGAUUGUAAACCCCUGUCAUGUGGGAGCAAAUUAAAAAGAUAAUACCACAAGAGGAAGAGACGGCUAACCCUGUGCCCGCAGCGGCGGUAAUACCGAGGUCUCAAGCGUUGUUCGGAAUCACUGGGCGUAAAGCGUGCGUAGGCUGUUUCGUAAGUCUUGUGUGAAAGUCGCGGGCUCAACCCGCGGCGGACACAUGAUACUGGGAGACUAGAGUAAGGGAGGGGGAAACGGAAUUCUCGGUGUAGCAGUGAAAUGCGUAGAUAUCGAGAGGAACACUCGUGGCGAAGGCGGGUUCCUGGACAUUAACUGACGCUGAGGCACGAAGGCCAGGGGAGCGAAAGGGAUUAGAUACCCCUGUAGUC
rnacentral:rRNA from 1 species